GUUGACCCUGCGCCUGGGCGGGAGCUGCUGGGAGCGGAGGCUGCGAGUGGGGGCCUAGUGGAGUGGAGGGGUAACAAGAUGGCGGCAGAGACGGUGGAGCUGCAUAAACUGAAGAGCACUUCUUAACCUUUUGGAGGUCACAGAUAUCUUUGAAACUCUGAUGAAAGGUAUGGA